rnacentral:rRNA from 1 species
UUCCGGUUGAUCCUGCCGGACCCGACUGCUAUCAGAGUGGGAUUAAGCCAUGCGAGUCAACGUAGUAAUACGUGGCAUACGGCUCAGUAACACGUAGUCAACAUGCCCAGAAGACGUGGAUAACCUCGGGAAACUGAGGAUAAACCGCGAUAGAUCAUAAUAUCUGGAAUGAUUUAUGGUCCAAAUCUAUAUGGCUUCUGGAUUGGACUGCGGCCGAUCAGGCUGUUGGUGAGGUAAUGGCCCACCAAACCUAAAACCGGUACGGGCUCUGAGAGGAGAAGCCCGGAGAUGGGCACUGAGACAAGGGCCCAGGUCCUAUGGGGCGCAGCAGGCGCGAAAUCUCUGCAAUAGGCGAAAGCCUGACAGGGUUACUCUGAGUGAUUUCCGUUAAGGAUAUCUUUUAACACCUUUACAAAUGGUGUGGAAUAAGGGGUGGGCAAGCCUGGUGUCAGCCGCCGCGGUAAUACCAGCACCCCGAGUGGUCGGGACGAUUAUUGGGCCUAAAGCAUCCGUAGCCGGUCCUGCAAGUCUUCCGUUAAAUCCACCUGCUUAACAGAUGGGCUGCGGAGGAUACUACAUGACUAGGAGGCGGGAGAGGCAAGCGGUACUUAAUGGGUAGGGGUAAAAUCCGUUGAUCCAUUGAGACCACCA